rnacentral:tRNA from 1 species
GCACCCAUAGCUUAAUGGAUAGAGCAUCUGACUACGGAUCAGAAGGUUGGGGGUUCGACUCCCUCUGGGUGCG